rnacentral:rRNA from 1 species
AAUCAACGCUGGCGGCGUGCCUAACACAUGCAAGUCGAACGCGAAAGUGGAGCAAUCCAUGAGUAGAGUGGCAAACGGGUGAGUAACGCGUGGGUGACCUGCCUUCGAGUGGGGGAUAACGUUCCGAAAGGGACGCUAAUACCGCAUGACAUCCUGCCUUUGAAGAGGCGGAGAUCAAAGCCGGGGAUCGCAAGACCUGGCGCUUGAUGAGGGGCCCGCGUCUGAUUAGCUAGUUGGUGGGGUAACGGCCCACCAAGGCAACGAUCAGUAUCCGGCCUGAGAGGGCGGACGGACACACUGGGACUGAGACACGGCCCAGACUCCUACGGGAGGCAGCAGUGGGGAAUUGUUCGCAAUGGGCGCAAGCCUGACGACGCAACGCCGCGUGGAGGAUGAAGACCUUCGGUCGUAACCCC